rfam:Alternaria alternata strain SRC1lrK2f unplaced genomic scaffold CC77scaffold_16, whole genome shotgun sequence.
ACAUACGACCACAGGAUCUUGAGACCACGGCUUCCCGUUCGCUCAGCCCUAGUUAAGCAAGAUACCGGCGGAUUAGUAGUCAGGUGGGUGACCACUGGCGAAUCCCCGCUGUUGUAUGUU